UGGAAGGUGGAAUUGAUUACAAGUCUAGCGUGGUAACCAUUGCACCAUAUAUACUGGUAAUUUAUUGUAAUUUCAGACUGCAGAACCAUGCUUCUCACCUAAAGGAUAUCAAGUUGCGAGAUUUGCUGAUGAAAGGAAUUGCAUACCAUCAUGCAGGGAUGGAAACGUCUGAUAGAAGAAAAAUUGAAGAUGUUUUCUUGCAAGGAGAACUGCCAGUACUGUUCUCCACAAGUACACUGGCUAUGGGUGUAAACCUUCCUGCACACUUGGUCAUCGUCAAAUCUACCAUGCACUACACCGGGGGAGGCAUGCUGCAAGAAUAUGGGGAAACAGAUAUUCUACAGAUGAUUGGCAGGGCAGGAAGACCACAGAAGAUCCUGGCAUUUCCAUGUGAUUCCAGGAGAGUGGAGGAAAAACGGAGGAUGCAGGGGCUAACCUGUGUGCGAUCGGAACGGUGCAAUUUCUGACCAAUGUCACUG